rnacentral:rRNA from 1 species
UACGUAGGGGGGCAAGCGUUGUCCGGAUUUAUUGGGCGUAAAGAGCGUGUAGGCGGCCAGGUAGGUCCGUUUGUGAAAAACUCGAGGCUCAACCUCGAGACGUCGGCGGAAACCCUCUGGCUAGAGUCCGGAAGAGGAGAGUGGAAUUCCUGGUGUAGCGGUGAAAUGCGCAGAAUAUCAGGAAGAACACCCCGUGGCGAAGGGCG